rnacentral:rRNA from 1 species
ACAGCAGCAGCCCGGUAACACGAAGGGUGCAAGCGUUACUCGGAAUUACUGGGCGUAAAGCGUGUGUAGGUGGUCGUUUAAGUCUGUCGUGAAAGCCCUGGGCUCAACCUGGGAAUUGCGAUGGAUACUGGGCGACUAGAGUGCGGUAGAGGAUAGUGGAAUUUCCGGUGUAGCAGUGAAAUGCGUAGAGAUCGGAAGGAACAUCUGUGGCGAAGGCGACUAUCUGGGCCAACACUGACACUGAGACACGAAAGCGUGGGGAGCAAACAGGAUUAGAUACCCGUGUAGUCCCUGUCUCUUAUAAC